UCCUGGCGCGACUUUAGGAAAUGCCCCAAUUUCCAGGCUGCUUCCUCCCUCUUAUGAAACACCCGCCGAAGGAUGGAGGGGGAGAAGGGACUCAGACACGAGAGCUGUGAUUCUUACCUUAAAUUCAUCCAGCAGGUCGGAGCUGAGCAGCUGGAUGCUGAGGUCAUCAUCUUUUGAUUGCUGUGGGAGGGUGCAAUGGAAAUGUGAGCUUUUUUAGGCAGGUAAUCAGCACUCUUUUCACUUUGUCUAAUCAACUGAUCCUCUUCUUGUUUGCAUUUGUGGUCUCACUGCAGCACACGUGUGUGCAGAGCACGGUGACGCCAGGAACAGGAGUCACCAGUUCUUUGGUCCAUGAUCUUGCAGCACAAGGGCUGCUAGGUCAGGACAGGAAGACAAUGAAAUCACAAUCUUUAGUGAUAUUGAUUUUGUCAAUGUGAAACUCCUGUCUCUGCUGCCUGCGCCGUGCACUCGCUUCAGCUGCUCGGGGUGUUGUCUAAGGGUGCUGCUGGAGACUGCAACGCUCUCCAGAGAGGUGUCAAAGCAAUGGCAGCCCCUGGAAGCCACCCCAGCCUGUCUGCCAGAGGGACAUUGUGUGUUGUGUAACACCAUCCCUGGAGAUGUCUCACCAUGCCUGCAGGUGUUUAAGGAAUGACUGGACAUGGCACUCAGUGCUCUGAUCUAGCUGACAAGGGCAUGACGUUGGAUAUUUCACAUCUGGAGACCUGCUUUCUACCACCCUUGUCGGAAUUUGCGACAUGACUCACAUCGAC